rnacentral:tRNA from 1 species
GCGAGAGUGGUGAAACUGGUAUACACGCUAGUCUUAGGAACUAGUACUUCGGUGUGCGGGUUCGAGUCCCGCCUCUCGCA